rnacentral:rRNA from 1 species
GACGAACGCUGGCGGCGUGCCUAAUACAUGCAAGUUGAGCGAUGAAGAUUGGUGCUUGCACCAAUUUGAAGAGCAGCGAACGGGUGAGUAACGCGUGGGGAAUCUGCCUUUGAGCGGGGGACAACAUUUGGAAACGAAUGCUAAUACCGCAUAACAACUUUAAACAUAAGUUUUAAGUUUGAAAGAUGCAAUUGCAUCACUCAAAGAUGAUCCCGCGUUGUAUUAGCUAGUUGGUGAGGUAAAGGCUCACCAAGGCGAUGAUACAUAGCCGACCUGAGAGGGUGAUCGGCCACAUUGGGACUGAGACACGGCCCAAACUGCUACGGGAGGCAGCAGUAGGGAAUCUUCGGCAAUGGACGAAAGUCUGACCGAGCAACGCCGCGUGAGUGAAGAAGGGUUUCGGAUCGUAAAACUCUGUUGGUAGAGAAGAACGUUGGUGAGAGUGGAAAGCUCAUCAAGUGACGGUAACUACACAGAAAGGGACGGCUAACUACGUG